CCUACGGGUGGCAGCAGUGGGGAAUAUUGGGCAAUGGGCGCAAGCCUGACCCAGCAACGCCGCGUGAAGGAAGAAGGCUCUCGGGUUGUAAACUUUCUUUUUCAGGGACGAAGCAAGUGACGGUACCUCACGAAUAAGCGUCGGCUAACUACGUGCCUGCAGCCGCGGUAAUCCGUCGGGGGCAAGCGUUCUCCGGAUUCAUUGGGUGUAAAGGGUGUGUAGGCGGGAAUGCAAGUCAGAUGUGAAAACUAUGGGCUCAACCCAUAGCCUGCAUUUGAAACUGUAUGUCUUGAGUGCUGGAGAGGCAAGCGGAAUUCCGGGUGUAGCGGUGAAAUGCGUAGAUAUACGGAGGAACACCAGUGGCGAAGGCGGAUUGCUGGACAGUAACUGACGCUGAGGCGCGAAAGCGUGGGGAGCAAACAGGAUUAGAUACCCUUGUAGUC
rnacentral:rRNA from 1 species